rnacentral:lncRNA from 1 species
UGUCAAACAGUAUUUAAAUUUGAUUAUAUGUGUAAUGUUAUAUAUGCUUAAAAGUGAAUAUGAUUACCAUGUAAAUUAACUAGUAAAUAAUGCAUGAGUGAGUAUAAUAUGACACUAGAGUUGAAAUUGUUGAGGUUAUGAGAUUGGUUAUUUCGUUAAUGCUUGAUGAAUUAUUUGCAUAGUAGUUGUUCUAGGUAUUCAUUGAGGUUAUAAAAGCUCACCCACU